UACGAAGGGGGCUAGCGUUGCUCGGAAUUACUGGGCGUAAAGGGCGCGUAGGCGGAUAUUUAAGUUAGAGGUGAAAGCCCAGGGCUCAACCCUGGAAUAGCCUUUAAUACUGGAUAUCUUGAGUUCGGGAGAGGUGAGUGGAAUGCCGAGUGUAGAGGUGAAAUUCGUAGAUAUUCGGCGGAACACCAGUGGCGAAGGCGACUCACUGGCCCGAUACUGACGCUGAGGAGCGAAAGCGUGGGGAGCAAACAGG
rnacentral:rRNA from 1 species